UGGGGAAUUUUGCACAAUGGGCGCAAGCCUGAUGCAGCGACGCCGCGUGAGGGAUGAAGGCCUUCGGGUUGUAAACCUUUUUCGCUCAUGGUCAAGCCGCAGCUUUGGGUUGUGGUGAGGGUAGUGGUUAAAGAAGCGCCGGCUAACUACGUUCCAGCAGCCGCGGUAAUACGUAGGGCGCGAGCGUUGUCCGGCAUUAUUUGGCGUAAAGGGCUUGUAGGCGGUUGGCCGCGUCUGCCGUGAAAUCCUCUGGCUUAACUGGGGGCGGGCGGUGGGUACGGGUGGACUUGAGUGCGGGAGGGGAGACUGGAAGUCCUGGUGUAGCGGUGGAAUGCGAAGAUAUCAGGAGGAAAACAGGUGGCGAAGGCGGGUCUCUGGGCGGUUACUGACGCUGAGGAGCGAAAGCGUGGGGAGCGAACAGG
rnacentral:rRNA from 1 species